rnacentral:lncRNA from 1 species
GUCUCGAAUCAACCUUAAACAUUCUGACCACAUCACCGCGGUCGAACCGCGACUCCGUCCUCUUCUUGCUGUAUCUAGCACUUGAUUACUUUGUAAUAUCAAUUUUUUAUAUAAAUAUUAUUUUUUCAAUUUUAAUUUAGUCAAUUUUAAUCGAUAUACACGAAGACUACACAAAAUAUUAUUAGAAAUCGGAUGGUUUCUGACGAACAAUAUGGGAUGAUCAAUAAUCUCCACAGUUUGAGUUUCUUGUGAAAGUAGGAAACAAAGAUAUGAUAAAUCUCUUACAAAGUAGUGGACUGAAAGGUGAUGACAACAGUUUAUCUCUAAAAAAAGAAAAGAUAUCAUGAGCACACCAAAAAAAUUUCAUAUAUCCAACCAUUGUCUUAGGCCCAUUACGUAAGAACAAUGCAGACAUACUCGUUUUAGCUAGGAAUCAAAUGUCAGUCUUCAAUGGUUGUAAAGAUCUAAACGAUCGUAAGAUCACUUGAUUGGAUCAAUGCGGAGGGUGUGAGACAGGCUGAAUUGUCUUUUCUUUUGUUUUUAAACUUAAUGAAAUUACCAGAUAGUUUUAUUUCAAAAAAAAAAUGUUCAGCAGAGAGCUGCAUUGACUUUUUUUUUUGUGAUUUAAAAACCAUUACAAUAUAAUAAAUAUAGGGAUAGAGUUAUUGAAAAUAUAUAAACGAGACUCGAACACAAAACAGCGAAUCAAUCAAUUAUGAAUAUAUAUCGAUAUAUAUAGUAUUGUUUUUACAGAUACAUGCAUAAUACCAACAGCUCAAAGUAGAAGCUAGAAAAUGUUGAAUAUUGCAUCAAUGAAGUUUGGACCUAUCCCGCCGGAGGCUACUUCCACUUUUGUGGGUGUUGGUCAAUUCGGAAGAUUCAUGAUGGGUUGUGGACUCUCCACCCGCCGGCACGUCUGAGAUGGCCGCUAGAAUCCGACGUAAACUACCGGACCUCAUGGUCUUGAAGCUCAUCGAUCUCAAGCUUGAUUUUGAAGUGAAUAUAUUGGAGGAUUUGGAGAGUAUGAGGAAGACAAGAAGCUGCACUAAUAUGAAUAUCGCCACCUUCACCGUGACACCGGCGUCGAAGAAGAAAGACAAAAGUUCAUCCAUGUUUUUUUUGAGGUUUCUUGCGGAGAGGGAUCGAGCUUAUAUUGAAAAUCGUAAGCUGCUUGUAGGGCAAGGAGAAGCAAGAAGAAGAAGAUUCUGAGAAGAAAGAAGAAGGAAAGAUUACGCGUCAAGUUUUGACAGUUUCACACGUAAGUAAACUAAUCCUCGAUCCAAUCCCGGCCCCGUGUAUCAAUUUACUUACGUUUCCACUUUUCAUCAUCCAUCACGACAAUAUUUCCACGUGUCCAUGUUAGGAUCUAUCCAUCUGACCAUCUAUUAUCUAGAGAUCUAGAUGUUUUUCUUGUCUGACGUACUAAUGUAAUAUAAGAGUAAUCCGACAUCAGCCAUCUUUGACAUGUCUUAAUUGAAUUGAUCACUAAUUUAUCCACGUGUUACAUAGGUAUUAGAUAUAAAAUAAAGGAAAAUUAGAAGAGGCCGUUGAGCCGUUGGCUAACCAGAUUUUAAUCCAAAGUUGAGUCCAAUUUGACUAGUUUAAUAUCUUUUGAGAUUCAUGGUGUGUUGACUAACAAAAUGGACACACACACAACUCUCUUUGAAGUAUUUAGUGUAUUUUCUCUCUUAUUUUUAUUUCCCUAAUCUGUUGGACCAAGGAAGGUAUUUAUAGAGUGUUUGAGUUUUGUUUUCCUUCUGGGCCUCUCUUGACCCAAGGGCCCUUUGUGCUGCCUGGCCCGUGGUCCGUAGCCUUUCGUGCAGUCGGGUCUGGCCGUGGUUGGUUCGGCUUGUUGGCUAAGGCAAGAACCUCGGACCGGCGGAGCUGGGCUAGGCAGUGGUGCACGUUUAUCAGAACGGAGUUGAGCCGUUGACUCUCCAACACGGCGACGCUAUGAAAGUCAUCACCCGGCAUGCAGCAGCAAACACUCAACCCACGCACGGAAUGUUGGAGUUUCACCUCGCGGCCGAACUCUUCCAGAAUCUCUUGGGAGCUCAUCACGCUGGUAAAAGAAAUGAAGAUGAAGGGUCACGAUAGUUACCGUUUAUUAGAGGGACGAGCACAAGUUACGAAGCAUAGUAAAGAAGGUGGUUGGGCAGACAGGCCACCCGAAGCCCCAUGGCCCUGAGGGGAGUACUAUUGGUUACGACCCGAGGUGGCCUCAUGAAGUAGAUGAGAGCUGGCCAUAGACCAUAGUAUAAAUACCCUCCCUGAUCCUCUGGGAAGAGGGGUUGGAAAACAGAGAGAGAGAGCUAGAGAGUACCUCGUCUAUUGAGGAAGAGUGUUUGUGUUCAUCAGUAUGUAAGCCCACGUAUCUUCAGUUAAAAAUGAAUAUUUUGCACAUGUAUAUUUAGAAAGAGUCAUACUACAUGACAAAAAAAUAUUUUUUUCGCUACUUUUACUGUCUUUUUUAUCUCUUUCUCAGACUUUAUAAAAGAACAUCCUGAC